rfam:Oryza glumipatula chromosome 9, whole genome shotgun sequence.
AAUAAACCCUGAGUUUUCAUGUCCAACGUUUGAUCGUCCGUCUUAUUUAAAAAAAUUAUAAAAAAAUUUAAAAAGAUAAGUUACGCAUAAAGUAUUAAUCAUAUUUUAUCAUCUAACAACAAUGAAAAUACUAAUUAUAAAAAAUUCCAUAAAAGACGACAGUCAAACGUUAUAUACGGAAAUUCAGGGUUUGUCUCUCU